CCCAGCCCCAGUUGUGUGGACUGAGGAGCAGCCUGCUCACCAUGGCCUGGGCCCCCGUGCUCCUCGUGCUGCUCUGUCACUGCACAGGUUCCCUCUCCCAGUCUGUGCUGACUCAGCCACCCUCUGUGUCUGCAUCUCCUGGAGCCACAGCCAGACUCACCUGCACCCUCAGCAGAGACCUCAGUAUUCCUAAAAACAUGUACUGGUACCAGCAGAAGCCAGGGAGUGCUCCCCGGUUUUUCCUGUACUACUACUCAGACUCGGACAAGCAGCUGGGACCUGGGGUUCCCAGUCGAGUCUCUGGAUCUAAAGACACCUCGGCCAAUGCUGCACAUUUGGUCAUCUCUGGGCUGCAGCCUGAGGACGAGGCUGACUAUUACUGUGCUACAUGGGGCAGCAGUAGUACUUGCACGGUGCUCCAGAGUCAUGGGGAAGUGAGACUAAAACCCUCGCUGUGCUCUCUCUGCCUGUGGCUGUCACCCUGGAUCUGCCUGAGACCAAGUCAGACUCAGGUGGCACUUGUCACUUUUCAGUGGGAAACUCUUUUCCUAAGACCCAUGGCUGCACAACUAUUUUCCUAUUGUCUGCAGUUAAAAAUUUUCUUUCUCUGUUGUUAAUAUCUUCUCAGCCUGCUUAUGUCUGCACAGGCCUAAAUCAGGUCUCAGGACUGUGUAACCCCCAGGGGCAUGAUAGACAAGGAAGGAGGGGGUUGAACCCUCCUCUGCCCACCAGGGUCUAGGCCUGGAUCAGAGGCCCGGGUGGGCUGAGGGCUUCUGUCGGGUCAGUGGGUCCAGCGCAACCUAGGCUCACCUCCCAGGAAACUGCUGCAAGAGUGAGUUUAAUUCCGUCUCCUGUGCUCAUUGUGUACUAUUUGUAGGAUCUGUUCUCUCCUCCUGGGGCUCAGGGGAAGCAGGUUUCUCUAGUUCCAGACAUGCAAAGCCAACAGAAUCUCCUCUACAUUGAAAUAUGAUUGUGUGUGACCUCUCCAUGUGCACCUGGAUGUCAGCAAAAAGCUCCCUCAUGCCCUGGCCAGGUGGAUCAAUUGGUUGGAGCAUCAUCCUAUGCAGAAGAAAGCUUGCAUGUAUGAUUCCUGGUCAGGGCACAUACUAGGUUGCAGGUUUGGUUGUACGGGAGACAACAUAUCAAAUGUUUCUUCUUCCCAUCAAUGUCUUUCUCUUUCUCUC